UGUAUUUUCAAUUUAGGCCUAAGUUACAACUACUACAGUUUAAAGAACCAUUUUUGUCAUCACAAAAUUGAAAGGAGAUGGAUGCACCCUCCUUCAGAAGGCGCUGAAAGGAAUACUAAUUAUAGGCCGCUGUACUCCGUAAAAGAACUUAAGGAAGAGCACCUAGUGAGAUAAGUGUAUGUCUGCCAUAUCAUCCGUUAAACAGCCAGGUUUUUGAAGGAAGAAAGAUGUAGCCCCAGCUCUGGACAAAAAUAUUAUGGAGAAGGUUGGCCGCUGUACAGGGCAGCUAUAGUUAUUAUUAUAUGUUGCCUUUUAUUGUUAUGUACUGUUUUUUAUACU